AUUGAACGCUGGCGGCAUGCUUUACACAUGCAAGUCGAACGGUAACAGGCCUUCGGGUGCUGACGAGUGGCGAACGGGUGAGUAAUGCAUCGGAACGUGCCCAAUCGGUGGGGGAUAACGUAGCGAAAGUUACGCUAAUACCGCAUAUUCUGUGAGCAGGAAAGCAGGGGAUCGCAAGACCUUGCGCUGAUUGAGCGGCCGAUAUCAGAUUAGCUAGUUGGUGAGGUAAAGGCUCACCAAGGCGACGAUCUGUAGCGGGUCUGAGAGGAUGAUCCGCCACACUGGAACUGAGACACGGUCCAGACUCCUACGGGAGGCAGCAGUGGGGAAUUUUGGACAAUGGGCGCAAGCCUGAUCCAGCCAUGCCGCGUGCGGGACGAAGGCCUUCGGGUUGUAAACCGCUUUCAGCCGGAAAGAAAUCGCCGUUUUAAUACAGACGGUGGAUGACGGUACCGGAAGAAGAAGCACCGGCUAACUACGUG
rnacentral:rRNA from 1 species